AAAAAAAACUCAAGCUAAAGUAUGUACUUUGUUUUUGACCGGAACGGCAGGAGCUCUGCCUUUCCAUUAUAUUAGAGGGAAAAACUGUACAAAACUGCCGGAAGCAGCAGCCGGAAAUGAUUACAACAAGGAAGAAAAAGGGAAAAUAGGCUGAAGCCAAAGGCAUCCAGCCAUGCCACCCUCAGGCUACUACUCCCCUGCCUCCUUAAGGAGGCCGAUCGCAUCUCUUGCAAGAAGCAGCACAGCAGAAAUAGAGCUUGACGAGGCCUUGAAAACUCUGUUCUUUCUCUCAAUCCAAAGGUGCCAUGCAAUAUACACUGCCGCCGUGCAUUCAUCGCCUAUCAAAGGAAAGAAGCAGUUCUGUUGUAGUGGUUCUAAGGCUGGACAUGAUAAUAUGUAUUGGAGAUUGCUGGCCGUGCUGGUGAUUUGGGAGAUCUGGUGAGAGCGGUCAUCACAUUUAUCGCAAUUCGGAGUUAUCGUCUGUGACACUCACAGGCCUUGCAUUUGACGAAGCCACUAUUUGAAGGAUGCUGACACAUGGCACAUCAUCUCUAUUUUUUGCCAUAGUAAUCUUGCUUACUGAGCCCAAUUAUUUUGGUUGUACUUGUAUGUAAUCUCUUAUGUAUGCAAGUUAUGCACCAAGUGCUUGUGAUUGUGUUAUCUUUUCUCAUGUGAGUUUUCAUGACUGGUUACUGAAUGUGAUAUGUUUGUGAGGUGAUUAAUGUCUUACCAUUUCUAGCUGAUAA